AAUAGAUACCCGGGUAGUCCACGCCGUAAACGAUGAAUGCUAGGUGUUAGGGGUUUCGAUACCCUUGGUGCCGAAGUUAACACAUUAAGCAUUACGCCUGGGGAGUACGGUCGCAAGACUGAAACUCAAAGGAAUUGACGGGGACCCGCACAAGCAGUGGAGUAUGUGGUUUAAUUCGAAGCAACGCGAAGAACCUUACCAGGUCUUGACAUCCCCCUGACCGGUCUAGAGAUAGGCCUUUCCUUCGGGACAGAGGAGACAGGUGGUGCAUGGUUGUCGUCAGCUCGUGUCGUGAGAUGUUGGGUUAAGUCCCGCAACGAGCGCAACCCUUGAUUUUAGUUGCCAGCACUUCGGGUGGGCACUCUAGAAUGACUGCCGGUGACAAACCGGAGGAAGGCGGGGAUGACGUCAAAUCAUCAUGCCCCUUAUGACCUGGGCUACACACGUACUACAAUGGCCAGUACAACGGGAAGCGAAGCCGCGAGGUGGAGCCAAUCCUAUCAAAGCUGGUCUCAGUUCGGAUUGCAGGCUGCAACUCG
rnacentral:rRNA from 1 species